GAGGGUGUAGCUCAGUGGUAGAGCACAUGCUUAGCAUGCACUAGAUCCUGGGUUCAAUCCCCAGUACCUCCA
rnacentral:tRNA from 1 species